GAUGAACGCUGGCGGCGUGCCUAACACAUGCAAGUCGAGCGAUCUUCUUCGGAAGAGAGCGGCGGACGGGUGAGUAACGCGUGGGUAACCUGCCCUGUACACACGGAUAACAUACCGAAAGGUAUGCUAAUACGAGAUAAUAUGCUUUUAUCGCAUGGUAGAAGUAUCAAAGCUUUUGCGGUACAGGAUGGACCCGCGUCUGAUUAGCUAGUUGGUAAGGUAACGGCUUACCAAGGCGACGAUCAGUAGCCGACCUGAGAGGGUGAUCGGCCACAUUGGAACUGAGACACGGUCCAAACUCCUACGGGAGGCAGCAGUGGGGAAUAUUGCACAAUGGGCGAAAGCCUGAUGCAGCAACGCCGCGUGAGCGAUGAAGGCCUUCGGGUCGUAAAGCUCUGUCCUCAAGGAAGAUAAUGACGGUACUUGAGGAGGAAGCCCCGGCUAACUACGUG
rnacentral:rRNA from 1 species